rnacentral:tRNA from 1 species
CAUUAGAUGACUGAAAGCAAGUAUAGGUCUUUUAAACCUACUAUAGUACCCCGCGUCUACUUCUAGUGA